UAACAUACAAUUGUAAUGAGUAGAGUCAAAAUGUUACACAAUUGUUUAACACAAUCAAAUCUAAUUGAUGUGUUUGUUAAUAAGGUCAUCUUCUACUGCCAGUCACAACUAUCUGAAAAAACUGUACGGGAUCCUACUUAUCCUUUAGAAAUAGAACAUUAUAUCCCACUACUACAUUCUCAUUCUUCCACAAAUUAUACAAGAGAGUAGACCCUACAAUACAGUAUUCUGAAACAACAUACAUAUUGAUAACACUUUACAAUAAACUUGAACUGCUAUUACAUUCAAAGAGACGCAUACCCAUUAAUAUUUAUGACACAUAGUAAACAUAAGAUACAUUUGACCACCUCUGCCUUAGGCAAUGCAGAGUUCAAGAGAAGAUUUUGCAAGCUAGAGCAAUCCCGGAUCAUUUCUUCUCAACACCAAGUAUGCCUCUGCUUUUUCAAUUUCAUCCAACACAACAUCCUCACAGAAUCCAAUUGACAAAAUGGAAACACAAAGCUCCACACGCUUAUGCACUAUUUCACCAGACAACCUCAAAAUGUUGAUCCAUUGAAACCAAAGAACGAGGGCUGCAAAACCAAAAGAAGAAAGUCUGAAUUCAAAUUCCAAAGGCACAAAGAAUGAUUGAAGUAAGGUCAAGAACUAUAGGUGUCAUGUUGACAUAUAGUGAAGAAACUAAAUUGACAUAUGCUGAAGUUCUUGAACUAAAUUGACAUAUGCUAAAGUUCUUGAGCUUAUUUCACGAGUAGCACAACACCUUGUCCUCUAAAAGGUUUAAAAAUUUCAAAAUUGGAGGUCACCAAUUCACAUUCAAAAAAUAGCACAAAAGGAUUAAUGAAUACAUGCAAAUUAUCAAGAUGCUCUCAAUAUUGAUGUAGCUAGAAUGCAAUAUGCAUUGGAGUACCCAUAUAUCACUGAUGUGAUAAUUGAGAGGCAAAAGAUUGCAGAGUAUAUUACUGUUACAGAGAAAGACAAGACUAUAUUUGGCUGAAGAAUGAACAUGGGGUGACUUGGUAAGGAGUACAUGACCUAGCAUAAGAGACUUGUACCCAUCAUCCUAAAAAACUAUCAAGAAUUAUAAGAGAUACCAAUCAUCCUCGAAACUACCAAGAAAUAUGAAGUUUAUGAACAAAUAACUACCGCAAUCAGACAUUUGUUAAGAGAAUGCUCAACCACAGAAGUUAUGACAAAUACUCUAACCUUGCUUAAAAAGGCAUCCAUAUAUACAACAUGCAAGCAUACAUGAGUACAUAAAAUAUUUCAUACAUAGAUGCAUAAUACAUAAGGCUACUUACCCUCAAUGCUCCUGUCCCACUUCUCAUAAGGCUAAUUAUGAGAUGGAAUCUUAUACCAGACUUUCUGAAUAACCCUGUAGUAAGAAAAUAAAAUGCUAUAUUUACAUUUCAUAAUGCAUUCACAACGAGUACUAUCAUAUGGAAAUUCUAAUACAUCUAGAUUGAAAAGCUUAUACAAUGAAAAUUAUUUUGAAUCUCAAGGGAUGGAUUAUUACUUUUCAUGAACGAAUGAUGGACAAUUUCUUUUGUCAUGCCCACUGCCCUGGCAAACUGCACAUUUCUUAGACUUUUCGAUUGGCUUCCAUCCCUCUGAUCGCGCUUUUUUUCUGGCAUUUGGCAGCCGUCCCUUUGCCCGUGCUUAUGAAGGAUCAGGGACAUUUUGGCAGUUGUAACUUCUAUUUGGUGUGUCACUAGAACCAAAAGCUCCCUCUCAUCAUUGACAUGAGUCAUCGUGUCAACCUGUGGACGUUGCUUACAACCGAAUUUACCAUCAACCUCUAUGAUAUCAUCGUGUAUUAAAGAUAUUACAAAAUCAUGAACCUCCACACGUUUUGACGCACGCUUAGCGAAUUAUCGAAUAGAAUGCAAGACAUUGUUAUAUCGAAUGGAGCGUGGUAGUGCAGAUGUAUCAUGAAGUUGUUUGCCACUUUCAUCAAUAAAAACCCCCUCUUUACGACCUUUGACCAACACCUCAUUAUGUAUGCUGGAGGUAUUUCAAAUAUAUUUUUCAUCAUAAAAAUCUUCCAACACAUUCCUGCAAAGAAGGCCCAUCCUCUCAUAUAAGUGACAAUUACAAGAAGCCAUCUUGUCAUGGGGAUUGAAUUCCACCAAGUAUGAUCUAGAUCUAGUUCCCAUAUCUACCACCUUAAAAGUGGCAAGCUGUCCAUUUUCAUGAACUAAUUCACUCAUAAAAUUUAUACAGUUGGCAACUUCUUCCGCAAAUAUCUUCAAAAUCUUUUGCGUAUAUAUUUUUUAUGCUUGUGACUCAAAUAAAGAAGUUGUUCUUAAGAUUGGAGCAAUUUUAAUGUCUUUUAAGUCGUUUUCCUUUUCUUUUCGUACCUUUUUAUCUUGCACCUUUGCACAUAUUUCCAUUAAUGUACGUAAGCUAGUUUUGGAUGUCAAGUAUAUCUUGAAAUGCUUAUUCAUCCCUUCACUUAUUUGGGUAGAAGUCAUACUCGCUGUGAACCUGCCAGUUAAGUAUGCAUCCACCUAUUGCAUGCGACAAUCAUAAAAAGCUUAAUUAGCCAUUCAUUACUUUCCAACUUAUAUUUCUCAAUCAUUAAUUUCCAUCCCAAUUCAAUUUCUUCUAUUGUUGGGCUAGCUAUACAACUCUUGAAGGAAUUUAAAACAGAAGGAUGCAUGCGCAAGAUAUGAGAUAGUUUUUCUUUAACUUUCGAAAGUAUAUGCCACUUACAGUAAUGCUAUUCACUCUUGUCAAAAACUUGUCUCACUGCGAUUGAAAUUGCAUAGACUUGAUCAGUGAGAAUAGCGCCCGGUUGUUGUCUACUCAUUGCUUCUAACCAAUUUUCAAAUACCCAAACAAAUGAUUCUACCUUCUCAUCAAAUAUGAGUGCAAAUACAAAGAAGGUUGUAUUGAAAUGGUGAUUUACACCAAGUAUGGGUGCAAAGGACAUGCUAAAAGAGUUUGUUUUGUAUGUGGUAUUAAAUGUAAUCACAUCAGAGAAUCAUUAAUAUGAAACUUUACAUGUUAAAUUUAUCCAUAAGAUGUUGAGAAUGUGAUCAUCUUCAUCUAAUUUCAAUCUAUAGAAAAAAGAUUGAUUUGAUUCUUUCAUUUUAUAAAGCCAUUGCAUAAUUAGACUACCAUCUUCUCCUCUUAGUUUUCUUCUGGCACUAGCAAUUUCAUUUUCGAUAUCAUUUUGUGUACAUGUGACAUUCUCGAUCCCUCCAACUUGCUCUAUGAAUAUGUCUUGCCUUAACCAUUGUCGAACUCAUUGAAUUUAUCAACUUUGUGGUAUUAGACAAUGUUCGGUGGCUCCGAAUUAAAUGUUCUUUCCUUGGACUGACUAGAUCGUGAUUGUGAUCAUCAAUAAACCCAGUCACAACCCACUUGUUAUCCGCUUUUCUAUUGACUCCCAACUUAGCCUUACACCCACACCUUGAUUCAGGAAGAUCCUUUCCACUGACCUGAUCUUUCACUUUGCGAAAUCCUUCCUUAGAGAAAAUAAUUUCCCUGUGAAUCCUUUCACCUUUAUUAUUAUGGGUACUGCCCUUACGGAUACCAAAACCUUUGGCCAAUGUAUAAGACUUAUAGUCGUCAAUUGCAUGUUCCUCUGAAGAAAACUCCAUUCCUAAACGCGGUACAUUUGUUUCUAAGCAUUUGGUUGAGGAAUCAGGUUUUCCAUCUUGCAUUUCUGUGAAAUUUCUAGGAGGGGUAGCAAGAUAAGGAACUUGCUCCAUGGGCUCAUUGGUGUCACCCAUGUUGUUAACAACUACGCAAGCGGGGGAUGACACACAGUUUGAAUGGUGUGGUCCAUCUAAGUUUUUCAACCGAAAAGACAAGCUAUAUAAAUAUAUGUAUUCAAACAGUUAUAUAGACAUAACAACACUCCUAGUAAACCAUUGCUUCUAACCAAUUGUAGACAACCCUUAUUAUUGUGAACUUAACUCCUAAAGUAGUAGUGUAUGAACUUAAUUCCUGAAGCAACUCAACAUAGUUAUAUUCACAUGAUCAACAUCAAUAUACAAAAAAGGCAUACAACAUUUAACAUAUCAAAAUGUGCUUAAAAAUGGCACAUGGAAAAUAAGGCAACUGACAUUUGACAUAUCAUAAUUUUCUUUCAAUAGCAUGUGGAUAGUAAAGCAUGCAUAAAUCAGUAGAAGCGUUCGAAUACCCAAGUGUUUGAAUGGUGAACUUUUAUAUAAUUGAAUCACCAAAACAUAACCUAGUUGGCAGACUACCAGAUAAGAAACAGAGGCCAUUUAUAAUUUUCCAUAACAAUAACUAAUAAUUCCAUGCAUUAACAUAAGUUUAGCUCGUUUCCAUAAAGAAGGCAUCCAAUUUGAUCUAGAAACUGCAAUUCAUUGUAUGUGAAAAACACAAUCCUAUAAGUAUGGCGAGUCAUAAAACUUUAAUCAUAGUUUUGUUGCUCUGUAUAACGCAUUCAAUGACUGAAAAACCAAAACCCCCAAAUGUGGCAAAUAUUUAGGGCGGAUUUUUUCCUCUAUUUUAAGAAACCAGCAUAAUGAAUUGCAUAAACAGUAAGAAAAAUACCCUAUUAUUAGAGGACCCAUCUAGUUAUCCAUAAAUCAAAAUAUCCCUGAUCAUAUCAGCUUCAAGGUUCAUUCAACUACCAAAAAAAUUUAAAAAUAGAAAAAACAGAAAGGUCUUGCUUGGGAAAAAUGACAAUGAGUUUUAGAGAGCAAGAGAGAGGCAUGUAACCCAAACCCAACCCCAUAUUUUUUUCACAUGAAAAACCACAAAAAACAAGCCCCACAUUGUCAUAUUGGAUUUGGAUUAAAAUAUCAUUAAUCAAUAAUAAAUCAAACAAUCAAAACAAAAAGACUGUAUUCUUGCAACAAUAAAUCAAACAAAUUGUUGAAUGUGCUUACUUGUACUUCGAAAAAUGGCCGCUUGUAGGCAGGAUUCACCGUAAAAAAAUGCAAGGAAAAAAAAGCCCUAAGAUGAAGUUUUGGCAGAGAGAGAGAUGGAGUGCUUAGAGAGAGAGAGAGAGAGGGAGGGAGAUGAUCUGCAGUACAAAUCCCUAUCUGUGUUGCCCGGUAGAUGAUUAUGCAGUAGAGAGGGAGGGAGGGGAAACUGGGAGGCCCAUGCUUAGAGAUCUACAGUAGAGAGAGAGAGGGAGGGAGGGGAAACUGGGAGGCCAUGCUUAGAGAUCUACAGUAGAGAGAGAGAGGGAGGGAGAUAUUCCGUAGUAGAUUUCACAGUCUUUGUUGCCUGGUUAAUGAUCCGUAGUAGAGAGAGAGGGAGUGCUUAGAGAGAGAGAGGGAGGGAAACUAGCGCUAUUGGGUGAGAGAGAGGGAAAUGUCUCAAAUUUGAGACGAUUGGUUCAUCUAAAAAAGGCGGUCAGAUUCAAGAUCUCGAAUCGUUACGUAUAAGAUCCCAAUAUGCGAUGUCGCACACAAUGGUUUCUCAUAUAUAUAUAUAUAUAUAUAUAUAUACGAGCAAGACUUCCAAAAAUAAUGCAUGCAUGUAGAAAGAGAGAUGUGGAGAGAGAGACAUGAACUCCCUAACAUUAAAGUAUAGAGGAGACUUAUGAGCUAUUAUGUUAUAGGAACUCUAUCAAUUGUCGAUUAUUUUGUGAUAUCUUUUAAUAAUUAAAACAAUUGUAUGCAUCAAGUAUUCAUUUUUUGUAUAUAGUACGCCAACCUAGAGCAACAUAGCUAUUUAAAAGCUCAUGCUCAAAGCCCCUCUCUCCCUCUCUCUCCCCAACAGACACUCAUUUCUUUUUGUUAGAUUGUUGAUCCAGAUCAAGACCGAUAGGUCAUUGAUCCACCCACUACUCCUCGUUUUAAAACACUACCUUGUAAUAAUAACAUUUGGCUUUCUUAUUCGUGCUUCCACAAGUGAUGAAGAAAUCCUAGUCAUUGACUAGGGUUGACAAGGGGCCAUUUGGCCAGACCGGGCUGGUCGGCCCCACCCUAAAAACAUAGGACCUACGCCACAUUUUGGGGCCCAAGGGCUAGGUCAUGGCUGGAUCACUGCAGCCCAAGGACAAGGCUGGGAAGGGCCAAGACCAAAUGCAAGAUAGGACCGGCCCCAUUUUGGGCCACGUUUCGACUUAAGCCUGGGCCUAUUCUGCUCAAUUCGGGAAGGGGCAUCUGGCCUGGCCCAUUGCCACCCACGUUAUUGACUUCCCCUUAACUUCUUAUAUCUCAUGUUUCCUAUCAAUUCCAUUAUAUUUUCUCUAAACCUCUUAUAUCUCAUAUUUUACAUGAAUUGUGCAUAUACUAUGCUCCCACAGGAGUAUACGAUGAAUCUACUCGCUCACGCAAAAGAUCUAUUUAGGAGGAUUUUUUUAGACCAUACAAGAAUUACUAGAUGAUUAUUUCUAAAAUAGAAAAUAUGAAUUUCGAGUUUUAUUACACCCAGUUCUAGUCCUUCAAAAGUUAGACGGUUUCUAUUUAAUCUUGAGGCGUUACUCCCCAAGGAAUAAAUGGAUAAUAUUACUCCCUAGGGAGUAGGAAAUCUUUUGACAUCCCAUUAUAUAUUGUCUUUGAUUGAUUUUUUUUAUUACACGCGCUCUUUGUGAUGCAAGGUUGUUGGAUGGAGGGAUAAUUUGCAGAGAGAGCCUAUAAUUAAAGGUCCCAAGGAUUACAGUGUGACCCGCAAGAUGAGGGGCGUGCUUUCUGCCUUCAUUUCAAAAUCUAUCUUUCUGAAUUGGUAAAUAAAAUAAGGAAAAAGCAAGUUAUUUACGUGGAUUUUCACUCCUAGCCAGCUAUCAUACCGAUGGCACUUUAUUGUUUUCUUUUUGUAAAGCCAUUCUUUUCCUUUUUCUUUUCUCUAAGUUUUGUAAUUUUCUAUGCAAAUAAUGUCACAAUCAUUCAUGUGCAAUAAUGGUUCAAUACGAACAUGUUAGCUCGAUAUGUCACAUGGGGUGCCACACAAACUUCCAGUACAAAAAAAAAAAAAACAUUACUUGAUCAUUGGAUGCAGUCAUUGGACGAUGAAGGGAUUCUAAAUCCAAUGGCAAGCAAAGAUUUCAAAAGAUAUUCAACUCCCUCGGGGAGUGUACUGUCGAUUUACUCCCUCGGCUAAAACACCACUUAUGAUUAGUUAAGCUCAAUUUUUAAGAAUAUAGCAUCUUUAACACACAGAUUAACUUCAAUAAAAUUUUUUUUCUAAUUGUACCUCUAAGUACUUGAAAGAAGUAAGAGUGUCGUUUGCGUAGAGUCGAAGCUCUAAACAAUCAAAUUAGAGCCUACCUUAAAAUAGUAUCGAGAAAUGUGGUUUUAAUACCGUUAAUAUUUAUGACAGCUUUAAAAUAUAUUUUCAUCUUUAAUUAUAUAAUUUAAAUCUUCAAAAAUAGUGUAGAUCGAGUAGAUCUAUGAAAACUUGAAAAUUGGCAGUCCAACAAUGCUUUACAAGAUGCACUGUUUCCAAAACUUGAAAUCUUUUUUUUUCUCAGGUUCAUGCAUCUUGAUGUAGAGAUGAUCAAUUUGAAUAUUUGGGCAUCAAACCAACCUAUUCUCAAAUUUUUGAGAUGGGCUCUAAUUUGAUUGUUUAGAACCUCGGCUCUAUACAAACUUUUUCCAAAAAGUAAUGUCUCGAGAUUCAAUAGAAGACCACAUAAUUUUUUAGAGGGUCAGAUCCUAGGGUUUAUAAAACUCAAAUUUAAAAUUUUCAUUAUUUACAAAAAUGCCCCUAUAAAGGAAUGAAUCCAAGCUAAACUGGGUCUUGACAUUUCAGAAAAAAUAUAAAAAUAUAAUAAUCAUAAUAAUAAUAAUAAUAAUAAUAAUAAUAAUAAAAUAAUAAUAAUAUUCAAAUAAUUCUAACAAAAGACCAAGGAUAUUUUCGUCACCUGAUUUAAAAUUUGCAAGUUGAAACUUGGAAACAGUGUUUGAAAACUCGCAGAGUCGAGCCGUACUCGCCCGGUUCGACUCGGGAAUCAUCUGCUACCGAGCCAGUUCCACUAAAAAAUCGGACUCGAUCGGUUCGACUCGGGAAUCAUCUGCUACCGAGCCCGUUCCACGAAAAAACCGGGAAUCGCGGGUCUCAACGAAAAAACUGGGAAUUGCGAGUCUCAACGAAAAAACCGGGAAUCGCGAGUCUCAACGAAAAAAUCGGGAAUCGCGAGUCUCAACCAAAAAACCUAUAUUUUUUAGGUUUACACGUGGCACACAUGGCCACCUUACGAGAGUGACAUGUGGCCACACGUGGUAACUCACCUCACGUUUGCCUCACUCGCGUUUCUACACGCGCAAUGAAGUGUCUAUGACACAUGACUUUAUAGAUAACCAAGCAACAUUCAUCCUUCGAUGUUGGAUAAUUCUCACAAAAAAUCAUUAAAGCAAGAUGAUUGAAUAUAUAUUAUUAUAGAUGCUACUAAAAUCAUAUGUGCUGAUGUGGCCGUGUUGGUUGACAACACCGAUUUUUAGGUGUAUGUCUUGAGUUUGAACCCCAUAGCAAGCACCAAAAAAUAUUUUGAGUUCAAACCCCUUAGCGUACAACAAAUUUUUUUUUUUUUGAGUUCGAACCCCUUAACGCACAACAAAAAAAAUACAAAAAAAAUUUUGUGUAAAAAAAAAUAAACGAAGUCACAAAAUACUGUUGUAAAAAAAUAGAAAAAAUAUAAAAUAAAAGGCUUUUCAAGAUAAAGAUAAAAAAGAUAAUACAACAUUUUUUUAUUUUUCUUGUAAAAAAAAUACAAGGUAAUAUAACAAGUAUUUCUUGCAAAAAAAAUAAAACAAAAGGCAUAAAAAAAUAAAAUGUACUUUGGCAACAUCAUUUUUUUAUUUUUCUUGUAAAAAAAAAUAAAAGUAAUACAACAAGCAAAAAAACAUGUAGUACAAUAUCUUCUUCUUUUGUCCAAAAAAAAAAAACAAAGAUAAUCAACAAGUAUCAUAUUUUUCUUGUAAAAAAAAAUAAAAGAUAACAUAAUAAGUAUUUCUUGUCAAAAACAUAAAAUGUAUUUAUUCAUACAACUUAGGAAUAAAUAGUCUAAUUAUAUUUUUAAUUUUAUAACAUGAUGGUCUUUAAUAUAAAUUUAGUAAUAUUAAUUUAAAGAUAGGAUUCAUACAAUGAGGCCAUGUGAAAUCUCUCGCUUUCUACUAACAAUCUGUUCCACUAAUUUAUUCUAAAAGCCUAAAAAUUAAAAAAAAAUUGGUACGCAUUCUAAUAAUUUCUACGUUGACAAUAAAAUAUUUUAUUUUAUUUAUUAAUUUUUGUAUUAUAAAUCAUGUAGUGUACUAUUUUUCUUACAGUUGUCAAUAAUAUAUUUUAAAUUACAUGAUAUUAUAAAAUAUUUUGGAUUUUUUAUUAUUUAUAUGAUAAAAUAAUUAUAAAAUAUUGUUGGUAUAUAAUAUUAUAGUUAGUUAGGUUGUAAUAAUUUGGGUUUUUUAGCGGAUUAGGGUUUUCCGCUAAUUCGAGAUUUUAGUGGCCAAUUUUUCAUGGAUUUAGUCAACUCUUUAUUGUAGUCCAUAUAUGAUUAUAUACUUAAUCCACGAUAAUUCUAUGAUUUUUUUUAUGUGAUGUAAAUUUAAUGGUCAACAUAAGUUCAUACAAGGAAAGAACAUUUCAAUAUUCAUAAAUUGAUGAAAACAAUGAAAGUUAAUAAUGCAGUACCCUCAUUUCUUAUUGGAUUCAUAAAAAACAACAUUUAUAAUGAAAUUUAAUAAUUUUUUUGAAUUUUUUUAAAGCUUAAUCAGAGUGAUUCGGCCUGAUUCUCGAUCCAGAUCCGAAUCGCCGAUUCGUCGAUCCAAAUCGGUUUUUGAGAUGCCUGAUCCGAGUCUGAUUCGUUUUUUAAACCACUGCUCGGAAAUAUAUGAAAAAGCAGCAUAUUACAGCUAAAGUGAUUAGUCGCUCUCAUCCGUUAUGGUCUUUAAGGUUAAAGAAAAACAAAACUAAAAGUUUUCACAUGGAAUCUUCUCCGUACCUCCUCUCCCUUCCCAUAUGCUCUUAUCAUGAAACAGCUUUCCUCACAACAAUUCUUGUCCCUCUGUCCCUUAUUUGUGUGUUUAUCUUUAGAUAUAUCAACAAUCAAAAUUCUUAGGUCAAAAUCAAGGAAGGCAAAAAGUCCCCAUCCUUGUAUAUAUCUCACCCCUCACCUCUGCAACAACCAAAUUCCUCUUCUAAAAUCAAACAAAAAUGGGGAAGGGAUCAGCAUUUUACCUCUGUGUUGUCCUUGGAGUUGCAGGUUUCAUGGCUGCCACCGCCGAAGCUGCCGACCUGUUCUCUUUCGAAGAUAAUUUUGAUAUAAUGUGGGCAG
rnacentral:lncRNA from 1 species